rnacentral:rRNA from 1 species
AGACGUCUACAUUAGAUACCCGUGUAGUCCUAGCCGUAAACGAUACUCGCUAGGUGUCGGCCACGGUGCGACCGUUGUCGGUGCCGUAGGGAAGCCGUGAAGCGAGCCACCUGGGAAGUACGGCCGCAAGGCUGAAACUUAAAGGAAUUGGCGGGGAGCACAACAACGGGUGGAGCUUGCGGUUUAAUUGGAUUCAACGCCGGAAAUCUUACCGGGACCGACAGCAACAUGAAGGCCAGGCUGAAGACUUUGCCGGAUUAGCUG